CCUCUGCCUCCCAAAGUGCUGGGGUUUUAGGUGUGAGCACCCAGCCAAAAGAAACUUAAUUUUUAGGGACAUAACUGGUUAACCUGCUUAUUGGGUACAGUUGUCGGUAUCUUUGGGUUAGGUUGUCUAUUAUUUUAGGGUGGAUGGAGGGUAGAUGGAAGGAGAAAAUAUCCAUAGGAGGGUUGGGACUUCUCAGUUAGAUUGAAUACCUGUUGAAUGGGAAGAGAAAGUCCCUAAGCUGACAAUUUAUUGUAAAACAUAUCUGUGCUAAUGCAGGAACUCCGACCCACCUGGUGCAGAGGAGUCUUAUCUUGACCUGCUUUGGGAGAGUGUUGUCUUGAUGCUUUUCUCUUCCUCCUUGGAAAACAGCUGAAGAAAUCAGGGGAGAAACCCCUGCUUGGUGGAAGCCUGAUGGAAUAUGCAAUCUUGUCUGCCAUUGCUGCCAUGAAUGAGCCGAAGACCUGCUCUACCACUGCUCUGAAGAAGUAUGUCCUAGAGAAUCACCCAGGAACCAAUUCUAACUAUCAAAUGCAUUUGCUGAAAAAAACCCUGCAGAAAUGCGAAAAGAAUGGGUGGAUGGAACAGAUCUCUGGGAAAGGGUUCAGUGGCACCUUCCAGCUCUGUUUUCCCUAUUAUCCCAGCCCAGGAGUUCUGUUUCCGAAGAAAGAGCCAGAUGAUUCUAGAGAUGAGGAUGAAGAUGAAGAUG
rnacentral:sRNA from 1 species